rnacentral:rRNA from 1 species
AUUGAACGCUGGCGGCAGGCCUAACACAUGCAAGUCGAACGGUAACAGGGAUCAGCUUGCUGAUUCGCUGACGAGUGGCGGACGGGUGAGUAAUGUCUGGGAAACUGCCUGAUGGAGGGGGAUAACUACUGGAAACGGUAGCUAAUACCGCAUGACGUCGCAAGACCAAAGAGGGGGACCUUCGGGCCUCUUGCCAUCGGAUGUGCCCAGAUGGGAUUAGCUAGUAGGUGGGGUAACGGCUCACCUAGGCGACGAUCCCUAGCUGGUCUGAGAGGAUGACCAGCCACACUGGAACUGAGACACGGUCCAGACUCCUACGGGAGGCAGCAGUGGGGAAUAUUGCACAAUGGGCGCAAGCCUGAUGCAGCCAUGCCGCGUGUAUGAAGAAGGCCUUCGGGUUGUAAAGUACUUUCAGCGGGGAGGAAGGGAGUAAAGUUAAUACCUUUGCUCAUUGACGUUACCCGCAGAAGAAGCACCGGCUAACUCCGUG